rnacentral:rRNA from 1 species
GACAGAGGCCACAAGCGUUAGGCGGAAUCACUGGGCUUAAAGCGUGUGUAGGCGGAUCGUUAAGUGCCUUGUGAAAUCCCACGGCUCAACCGUGGAACGGCUGGGCAUACUGGCGGUCUUGAGCUGCCUAGGGGCGACUGGAACAGACGGUGGAGCGGUGAAAUGCGUAGAUAUCGUCUGGAACGCCAAUGGUGAAAACAGGUCGCUGGGGGCAUGCUGACGCUGAGACACGAAAGCCAGGGGAGCAAACGGG